GCCCUUAUAGACAAAUUGAUAAACUGGAGACAAUUAGCGAUCACUUUUUGAAGCCCCGUGUCGAAUUAAAAGACGGGAUGAGCCCCACUGUCUAUCGUUACAUGCUGUGCGCUGUUUCUACCGCUAGAUGUCACAUUCCUCAAAUUUCUCAGUCUUUUUUGCCACCUGUCCCAGCUUUUUUGGAUCAUGUUGCAGCCAUAAGAUUCUAACUUAAUG